rnacentral:rRNA from 1 species
UACGUAGGCAGCGAGCGUUGUUCGGAGUUACUGGGCGUAAAGAGUGCGUAGGCGGUGCUCCAAGUCUGGUGUGAAAUCUCCCGGCUUAACCGGGAGGGUGCGCCGGAAACUGGGGUGCUGGAGUGUGGGAGAGGUAAGCGGAAUUCCCGGUGUAGCGGUGAAAUGCGUAGAGAUCGGAAAGAACACCAACGGCGAAAGCACUCUGCUGGGCCGACACUGACACUGAGAGACGAAAGCUAGGGGAGCGAAUGGG